AAAAAAACCAAAAACCCAAAUGGAGUUCCCCAUGGGGCCCUGGUGUGCAACAGUUGUAAACAGCAGCCUCCUUAAUAGUGUAUACAGCUGGUUGCCUAUAUGAGUUGUCCUAGGGGACCUUGGAGACAAUC